GAGGGUAUAGCUCAGUAGUAGAGUGUGUGCUUAGCGUGCAUGAGGUCCUGGGUUCAACCCCCAGUACCUCCG
rnacentral:tRNA from 1 species